AAUGUUCAUCUUCGCACCAUUCUCUCUGCACUUUUCGUCUUUCCCCCUGUUGAUGGGUAUUUCAGUCUGCAAUACAAGUCUAUUAGGCUGUUGCAUGGCACUUUGAGAGACGACCUGUGCCAAAUCUCGGACAAGAAAAAGGUCCACCCUCUGAGGAGAGAAGGAGAGCGCCAUUGGAUCCCCGCGUGCCAGCGACUGGCCCUCCCCUGGGAAGAGACGCGUUGGCCUGAUUCCACGGAGACGCCGAAUCUGCAGCCACGUCAAUCACGUCUUCACCACUGGCUGCGGGACGGCCUGGGUGGCCGGGAUGCCACUGUGUGCCCUGCCAGUCCACGGUGGAUCCUGAAGGGCAGGAGGACGGAGUGGUGGGGACGGAGUGUAGCAGGCUGGGAGGGCACCACGCGUCUGGAGACAUGAACCUCUGCUGGAACGAGAUCAAACGCAAGUCCCUCAACAUCCGGUAAGAGGCUGCUUGCAAUGGGGUUCAAUGGGGUUAGGAUUCUGUUUUACAUUGGGUUUCAAUGGGAGUGUGUUGUGCAUUGGGUUUCAAUGGGUGCGGGAUGUGUUUUACAUUGUGUUUUCAAUGGGUGUAGGAUGUGUUUUACAUUGUGUUUUCAAUGGGGGUAGGAUGUGUUUUACAUGGGUGUAGGAUGCGUUAUACACUGGUUUUCAAUGCAAAUAAAAUGUCAUUUAAUUUAGGCAGUGGGAGAGAAUCAACAAAAUAACUUCAAGAAAACAUAUUUCAAAACCAUGCUCUCAUAACAUGCUGUGCAAACAUGCGUCUUCCAGUGAGUCCUUCAUGCGUCAAUGUUUUUGCGGUGUUGAUAUUUCUAAUAUCCCCUCUGUACUAACGUUUCUAACCUGUUAAUCCAAUUUGUUCACUGCUGUUCCCACAAUUAAAAAAACCAUUGUCUCUAUAAUGUGCUGUCACGAAAUGAAAUAUUCUCUUCCAACUCCGAGUGGGCCUAGCCAUUAUGGAUAAUAUGUGGGUUAAUACUGAU
rnacentral:lncRNA from 8 species